ensembl:lncRNA novel transcript
GGAGAGCCAAUAAAGAUACGACAGAUCUGGCAGGAGAACAAGAUCCAGCCCAGGUGAUGGGGUGUGAGGCUUGGUCUUAGCUACAGGAGACGCUGGUCUGAAAAGAAGGCAACGCAAGGAAGAGAACAGAGCCAAGGCACCUGCAGCGAGCCAGAGCCAGAGCCCUGACAUCACAAAUGCUUUAAUUGGUUCCAUUUAUUGUUUAAUCCACUUGAAAUUGAAUUUCUGUCAUCCCCGACUGGAAGUGUACUGACCUGCAUACUACCUGUGUUUCCUCACAGCAGGCUGAAAAGCUGUGCCAAUAUUGAGCUCAUCCAGAAUUAGACGAAGUUUGUAUUCUUUUUAUUACUUCCUUUAACCCUGAAUCAGGGUCCAGAAGCAUUUUGUUGACCAUUAACUCUUCUCUGUGAAUAAAGCAGCAUGAGGAACAACCUCUUUUAUUCACAGAGCAAAGCUCUUCGCUGCUCAGCCACAGCGGCUUCAACUCUGGCACGGGUCCUGAAGUGCCAUUUCUAGCACAUGACUCACAAAGUAAAUAAUCUGUAAAUGAAAAGCCUCUUAUCAUACUUUGGCACGAAAAACAAAGCGACAAGCCAGGCAGCAUUUUUCCCUCAUAUUUGAACCCCACAUGCACCAAGGGCUGUUUUAUGCCUUGCACAUGAGGAGUUUGGUUUGCUC